CUGAACAAGAUGGAGAAGCAGGGCACGUGCAAUACUAACUCUUAUGAAUCAUAUAUUUGUUUCGUGUUUCAUUUCAAAAACCAAAAAAGAAUUAGAGAUUCAUAGUUAGGUGCAGUUAGUACUUCAUGUGCCCUUCUUCCCCAUUUUGAUAGC